UGUCUGAGGCUGUGGAGCAGCGGGGAAGCAGACGCACACACUCACUCAGUAUGGGAGCAGAGGCAGCCACCGACCAGCUUAAGGACAGCGGGGCUAAAAGGUGAAAGCCACGCUCGGCUGAACUUCAGGCCUGAUCAAAAGGAAUGCGACCUGGGCUUGGGGAGGCAGCAGAGCUUAUCAGCCCAGCAGCGAGGCUUUGGAGGAGAAGAUCCUCGGCACCAGAGAUCUCCAGGUUUCAGAGGCGUGUGUAGCCAGCUGCGGAGUUCUUCUGGAUGCUCAUUGGAAGUGAGCGUUGAGCGCUCAGGACAAUUAUGGAAUCAUUACCACCACCAUGCCCGAGGCAAAAUAUGAACACCGUGCCAUUUGUCAACCAACCACGGCAUCGUAAUCAAGGACACAAGUGUUUGUGUGUCGGUGUGUUGGUGUGUGCGUGGGCGAGUGCUUGCGCAAAUCUAUGGCAUGUUGGCAGAGGAGAUGAAAUGUCACUCAGUUUGUGUGUGUGCGCAUGUCCGCAGGGGGGUAAUGGAUGAGUCAAGUGCCCUGCCCUAUAUUUUGUGUCUGUAUAUUUGUUCAAAUGUGUGGCCGUGUCCAAAUAGACAACGUCACAUGUACUAAUGUGUGCGCAUGUGCGUGUGGGUGCAUCGGCGGAGGGUGAGGAAUGGCCUGCCCGAGCGGCAACUGUCUAAACAUGUCCCCAUCAGCUGUCUGCCCGCUCCCUCCAUGAAGAAAUAACUUCAAAUGA